AUUGAACGCUGGCGGCAGGCCUAACACAUGCAAGUCGAGCGGAGCGGCGGACGGGUGAGUAAUGCCUAGGAAUCUGCCUGGUAGUGGGGGAUAACGUCCCGCAACGGGCGCUAAUACCGCAUACUAUCAGAUGAGCCUAGGUCGGAGUAGCUAGUGGGUGGGGUAAAGGCCUACCAAGGCGACGAUCCGCAAGUGGUCGGAGAGGAUGAUAAGUCACACUGGAACUGAGAAACGGUCCAGACUCCGACGGGAGGCAGCAGUGGGGAAUGUUGGACAAUGGGCGAAAGCCUGAUACAGCCAUGCCGCGUGGGUGAAGAAGGUCUUCGGAUUUUAAAGAACUUUAGGUUGGGAGGCGUUACCAACAGAAUAAGCACCGGCUAACUUCGUGCCAGCAGCCGCGGUAAUUC
rnacentral:rRNA from 1 species